AUUGAACGCUGGCGGCAGGCCUAACACAUGCAAGUCGAGCGAGCGGCGGACGGGUGAGUAAUGUCUGGGAAACUGCCUGAUGGAGGGGGAUAACUACUGGAAACGGUAGCUAAUACCGCAUACCAUCAGAUCUGCCCAGAUGGGAUUAGCUAGUAGGUGGGGUAACGGCUCACCUAGGGGACGAUCCCUAGCUGGUCUGAGAGGAUGACCAGCCACACUGGAUCUGAGACACGGCCCCGACUCCUACGGUGGGCAGCAGUGGGGAAUAUUGCGCAAUGGGCGAAAGCCUGAUGCAGCCAUGCGGCGUGUGUGAAGAAGGCCUGCGGGUGGUAAAGCACUUUCAGCGGGGAGGCGUUACCCGCAGAAGAAGCACCGGCUAACUCCGUGCCAGCAGCCGCGGUAAUUC
rnacentral:rRNA from 1 species